GGGAAAAAUAGAAGAUUAGGAGGCACAAAAUUCCAGUUAUUAAAAAAAAGAGAAGUCACAGGGAUGAAAGAUACGGCGUAGGGAAUGUAGCCCAUAAUAUAGUAAUAACUUUGUAUGGUGACCGAUGGUAAAUACACUUACCGUGGUGACAUUUAUAAUUGUCAAAUCCACUAUGUUGCACACCUGAAAUGAAUAUUAUAUUAUAUGUCAACUAUACUUUAGUUAACAAUUAAAAACAAACAAGGAAACAAACAAUACACAAAAUGUAUUUGUAGAUGUUGGUUAACAUGAGGAUCUUGAGAUGGGGAAGAUUGUCUGGACCCACCUGGGCCCUAAAUGUGAUCACGGUGUCCUUAUAAGUGGGGAGCAGAGCGACAUUUGAGGACUAGACGGAAGGGAGGAGACAAUGCCGUGACCUUGGCAGAGAGAGUGAGAUUUGAAGAUGCUAUUCUGUGGGCUUUGAACGUGGAAGAAGACACCGACCAAGGAAUGGGGACAGCCUCCAAAAUGUGACAGGGAAACAUUGUCCCAUAGAGCCGUCAGAGGGAGCAUGGCUCCUUUGAUUUUGACCCACAAAGAACUGUAAGAGAAUAAACAUGUGUUAUUUUAAGCCACUGACUCUGUGGCAAUUUAUUAUAGUAACCAUAGGAAAUGAAUCAGGAGCCCAGACUCCCUCUACCCUUGACUUCCUCAAAACUAUCUUGGAAGCUGAUCAUCAUGCUCCCAGAAAGCAGGCAAUAGGAUAGAAGGACACACACACUAGAGAUCUCAGCCACACACGCUAGAGCCUAAGGCUUGCCUCCUCUCAUACACUGACUCCCAAAUCUUCAGCCUAUUGCUAAAGAUGUCGUUUUUGCAACUCCCAAGCUCAGAAUUGACACAGGUGGUGAAGGUGGAAAGCCGGGUAAGGGGGCAGCGAUGAGGGAAUCUUGGUAAAUAUCACAGUGUGCUUUAUCUCCACGAAGACAGCGAGCAAGGCAUUUUAUACACUGAGAUAUUUACCUAUCAAGGCAGCCCAGUUCACCCUCAAUAUGCAAAUAAGUAAACAGAGUAUGAGAGAGUUAAUUUACUUGUUCUGGUCUCACAGUUAAUAAAUAGCAGAACAGGGAUUCUGUUCUCUCCUCUUAUUUCCUCCUUCAAACCAGGAAUUUAGAGCCCCCUCCUGGAGCAUGCAGGAUCUGGAAGUCAACAUCCACCACCCAUAAUGAGCUCUGGACCAGGGAAAAUACAGCCCUGUGUUUACAUUGCCACACCUGUGAGUGACCAGCAGAGUAAAGAUAAGCUCUGACCACUGCUUAGGGGGCUCUCUAUGGUGUGGCCCUGGUCUGUUACCUCACUAGGAAUGGCCAGUCCCCCAUGAUCAUUGUGCUGCUCCCCACACUCUCCUCAUGGCUUCUGGCACCAGGCUCUGUUGUCAAAAGAAUCAUGCAUUCCCAUCUACCCUGGUUCUAGUAGACACACGUGCUUUUGUGCAUGCCCCCUCCAAUUUAUUCUGCAAAUACUAAGCCAAAAGUGCCCUCUCUGGCUAAAUCUCUUCCGAUACACUUUGGGCACAAUGAGGGUGCCCUUCUAGGCACCCCCAAGUAUCCACCUGAAGCCCUAUCUCACCUCUCUAUGACUGUCCACUUUCCUUCUUCCUACCACAGACAGAAUCUCUAUCUUACAAAAUUCAGUAUCUUUUCCCUUCAGUGAUUUGCAAAGUGCCCAGUACAUAAAGGUCACUCCAUAAAUGUUUGCUAAGUGAGUGAAUGAAUUAAGACACCGAUAUAAUAAAGUAGAAUGUUUUAUUGAUAGAAAAUUAAUUCUGGCAUCUCCAAACAGCACCCUCUAAGAUGUGCCCCAGGGUGAGAUAAAGCCUAAAAGAAUCCUUUGGAGGAUAAAUUCCAGUGUGACGCUUUGGAAAUGGGGUGAGGGAGCAUGGCAGUGAGUUUUUCCUCUUGGUUUUUAUAUUUCAUUUCAGUAACUAUAUUCCAUCGCACCCACAGUGGAGCCGUACGUCUUGGAGAGCACAUCGACGUAGAAUGAGUGUGCCUGGAGAUUAUGUGGGCAAUUGGAGAUGAACAUCAAUUUACUCGGGCUAGAAAAUAAAAGUUUCAGGUUUCCCUCACAGGUGGAAGUGUGCUCAUUCUUACUAUGAAGAACUCCUGUAGCUAUAAUCCAUUGGGGACACACGCAGCAACCCUCACGUUUGCAGGGCAUACUGAGGAAUCAUAACCUGUGAGGUGAUAGAAUCGCUUCUCCUUACUCUCUCUGGGUUUCAGGACACUGGAGGAUAGCAUCAAUGCAUACCUGCAGUUACCAUGCCAAGACCUUGAGAUAUUCCAGGAAAUGAUAUAGACUCCCUGAUGUCAAGUGGCUUAGAGUCUACUGAUACAGGAAUGGGCAGUUACAAAGCAGGAUGGAGACUUGCCACCAGUCUGCCGAAUGGUGGAGAGUGACCCUUUCCAGGUCAGCAUCGUGAAAGACUUUCAACUUCUGAAAUCAGGCCAGCAUCAGACAUGUGACAUGACAAGGGAACAUUUUCCCCAUUCAGAGGAUCAUUAAAGGAUAUGAAAGCCAGCAGAUCAUUGUUAUGCAAGAGGAAACAACAUAAAUGGAAAAAUCUAUGAACAUCAUAUCCAUAAGUCUCUGGGAAAUUUGCAGUGGAAACAAAUGGGCCAGAGUAUGAAUAGGUAAUGCUUCACCAAUGGGAACCUGGGAACCAUGGGGCCAGGCUCAUAGCAGAAUGAUCCUUUCUGUUCAGCAUGAAAUGAUUCUUCUGGUGAAACAGAGGAAAGGCAGUUUAACCACCUGCUCCUCGACCGUAAGAUCUAGGCAUCUGGGCUUUGACUUCUGGAAGAUGAAAGAAUGCUUAAGCAUAUUCCUCUGGGAAUAGGGCAGGUGCAUGGUGGAUUCUUCUGCAGGACAGAGAGACCUGUUCAAAGCGUCAGAGGAGGAGUCCUACUAUUUCUGCUUGAUGCCAAGGGCUUCAGGGUAAGAAUAGACUCUGUCCUACUGGGACUUUGGGGGACUGAGGAGGGAUCACUUGACCACAGUUUACUGCAGAGCAAUCCCCCAUCCCCUCACUAAGCUCCCUUUCUGUGGAAGAGGAAUCUGCUACCAUCUGUAUGUGACAAGAGCAAGUGGCUAGGGGACUCUUUGAGUCACUGGUAAGGAUUUAUUCCUUCUUUAGAGAUUAAAAUAGAGGCAUAUUUUAUGUCUUUUCCCCAUCUUCCUUGUUUCUCUCUUACCUUCAUUUGUCCGCCAUAAAGCAUAUAGUUAUCAACAGGCCUCUCAAAUGUCAUACAACAAGGAAACACACUGGAGACAUAGAGUGACAGAAAAAUAACAAGAACUUUCCCCAUCCUCACACCCCCAAUCUCUCAUAUCAUGAUCCCUACAAAUCAGCAUGUUGUGGAACUAUGGACACACAGGCUUGGGAACCAGGUAGUUCUGGUCAGGGAGCUGAGCCUCAAUCUAUUUGUGUGACCCUGGGCAAGUCUUUCUCUAAGUGUCUAUUUCCUCAUAGCAAAGUGGUGACACUCACAUCUGUUGGGGUUGUUGAGAGGAUCACAUGAAAUAACAUACGUGAAAUAUUGGAUGUAUUUUAAGUGCUCUGUAGAUGGGAAGGCUCUUCCAUACUGCUCUGGGUUUCUGGAAAUCUGUUUCACCUUCCCCUGUGUCACAUGUUAAAGCAUAACCACAUCAUAAUGGAUCCCACAAAAGUAGAAAAAGAGACACAUUUUUAAAAAGGAUGCCUAACCAUUGCAAACAUACUUGGCUUCCUAUAUCUUACUGAGAUGUAGGAUAGCAUUGCCAGGUAAACAUCCAGUUAAAUAUGUUUUUAGUUUAAGUAUGUCCAAACAUUGCAUAGGAUAUGUUUGCACUAACAAGUUAUUUAUUGUUUAUUCAAACUUCAAAUUUAACUGGAUAUCCUGUAUUUUUCUUCACUAAUCCUGGCAAUCUAAUUGUGCGUGUAUUUCACCACUCUGAACUGCCCUACCUGGUUGAAUGUGAGACAGCUCAAGAGCAGCCGUCAAAUUAGGUUGCCUUAAUUUGGAUCCUGAGCCAUGAUGACUGUCCUGCAUAAUCUUAAUCAUGUUUUAGGCAACUCUGGAAAGAUAUUAACAAGCUUCAGGCAAGCAGAAACAAAUAUCUUUUUAUGAUAUGUAGAUUUGCCAAAAGCAAUACAAUAGUAAAAUGAAAACAGAGCAGCUAGGACCAGAUAAACCACGUUACCUCUUCAUUCAAUGGCAUCAAUCUGUAAAGGAAAUUUAAAAUUUUUGUCAUAAGAAUGUAGAGAUAUACUUUUAUAAUAUGUAGAUUUGCCAGUAGCGAUAUAAAAGCAAAAUGAAAACAGAGCGGCUAGAUCCCAUAGAAUGUUUGUUACUUCUUUUUCCAGGGGCAUCAAUCUCCAAAGGAAAUUUCAAUAUAUACAUAUUUUGUUUUAAGAGCAUUUCUUUGUCUGUGUUAACAUAAUAAGUUGGAGAGAAAAACUUUGCAUAGGAUAGACAAGGUUUGUCCAGAAAGAAGAUUCAAGGUGUCCUUGAAAAUACCAGAUUUGUGGCUGCCCUUCUUUAGAUGAAGAUGGUUCUUUGGAGAGGGGUAGAGACAAGUAGACUCUUAGAAGUAUGUGAGGUGGGGAAAUCUGAGCCCAUGGGGUAGAUUCUAUAAUCUUGCUAUUAGAUUAAUAUUUUUAAGGUAUUUCCAAGUCUGCUGUUCUCUUGCUAUUUCAUCGAUCUGUUGGGAGGUAAGGACUCCCCUACCCAUGACUUAAAAACAAUAACUACCAUUUAUUAUCUCUUGAAAUUGUAGAGCUCACCUGGGCUUAGCUGGGGUGCUUUUGCUACUCAUUUGAUUAGCUCCAAUCAUUGGCAGGCUUGACUGGGCUGGAAUAACCAAGAUGAUUCACUACAAUGGCUGAUAUUUGGGAGCACUGUUGGCUGGGAACUCAGUUGGGGCUGUCAGCUGACUGGUCCUCUACCCAGCCUCUCUGCACUGUUUGAGCUUCUCACAGUGUAGCAACUGGGUUCCUAGUACACAAAUGCUGCACAUCUCUUUAGGUCUAGACUUGCAAGUUACACAGGGUCAUUUCCACCACAUUGUAAUAGUCAAAGCACAUCCAAAGGCUUUUGGAUUCCUCCAAAAUCCCAAUAAAGACUCCAAAGGCCAGGCUAUAUUCAAGGGAAGAGGAUUAGUUCUCACCUCUGGAUACAGGGAGUGGCAAAAAAAAAAAAAAAAAAAAUCACCACCAUCGUUAAUUAUCCAGAGUUCUUCCUGUGGACACAGAUUAUUUAUAUCUCUCUCCCAUCCCAGCGACCAUAAAAGUCAUUCAAUUAUGGCUUCAGACGUGGGCUUGAAGACCAGGAUCUUGCCAUUUAACUGUAUCCAAGAGUGUAUGAGAAAUUUACCCUGAUUCCUUGGGGAUAGGUCUUUAGUGAGGUUAUUCUUGGUUGGGUGGCCUGUGAGUUAGAGAGACACAGCCCAACACUCAAUGAUAACAGACAUAAGACAACUUCCAUAGAAGCUCAUGUUCACAGAAGGAGGAAAUACGAGGCAUAUAAACAUCAAUGUUCCAUAGCAAUUCUGAAUUCUGGCUGGGCAUGGGUCACAAGUCCCUCUGCUCUGUGGGUAAAGGAUGUAUAUUGAUUAGGAUCUGGUUUUGCUCCCUCAGAUCUUAGUUGUAUUGUAUCUGGUUCUCCUCAGAUCUUACCUUUGUUGUCUAAGCUGUUGGUUCCACCCUCUGAGUUACCUCUCCUGUAUUGACUUAUUUUCUGCAUUCUCAGUGCUUUGGUAUUUGGGGCCUUUAUAAUGGAUAGAUUGCCCCUCCCAGGGAGAGCUAACUGCUAGAUAUUGUAAACUUCCUGCUUUUCUAGUACACCUUUGACAUCAACCAAUCCAGAACCAAGACCCCCAACCAUCUCUUUUACCAAACUCUACACCAAUACUCCUUCUGCCCUAAACCACCCCAGGACCAUGUAUUAGACAACUGGGGACCACCCCUAUAGCUCAGAGCCCACCUGAAAUUAUUCAAACUAUCUAAUCCUAUGUUUACUCAACAUCUAUUCCCUGCCUCACCCAUUCUUUCCUCCAAAAUCCCAAUAAAAACUCUGCAUCAUUAUUUCCCUUCUUGCCCCUCUCUGCCUCCUGACCAUAUCUGGUCCUUCCUCAUAUGGCCCUGCAUGGUGUGGCCUGCCUCCUGCUUUUAGGAUUCUGUGAGUAUAAACUUCAUCCUUCAUGACAGUUAUUUCAAUGUCUACUGUCUUGCCAUUCAUGAUUAAAACAAAUCCUGAGUACAUUUUAAAACACCUCCUUUCACCUAAAAUUGAUCCAUGUUUACAAUGGAAUAGCUUUCUCAGGCUCCUUCCUGUCCAAAAAUGAUUGGGUUUAUAGAGGCCUCCUCAUUUCAUGUUAGUCAGGGUUUGAUCAUGAAGGAGAUCCACUACAAAUACUGUGGAAUAUGGGAUUUAUUAUUGUAAUUAGCCUCCACAGUUGUGGGAGGAACUGGGUCAGUGAAGGUCUAAAAGAGAAAGGUGGGUGAACAGAGAAAAGCCACAACUGAGUCUCCUGGACAAAUAGGGCAGGUGGACAGGUUGAAGCUUGCUGAGAACGUCUACCAAAGUGGACUGUGAAGAGGAUCCAGGGGGAGACUUCCAUGGAAGCUAUCACUUUGCUGUGGCUGCUGCCUUUGAGGAACUAUAGACAAGUAUCCGAUGGGACCACUGGGACAUUACUGGCUCACAGAGCCAGCAUCUGGAAGAUCUGGCACAGAGCAGAGGAGCACAAGGAUCAGUUGGAAGCCAUCUGUGUUUGACCUCCCUCAAAGCUUUGACACACUUGCCUUUAUGUCAGACAUGCAGUUUUUCUCUUUUGCAGAGGACAGGGCUUCUUAUGCCUGUGGCCGGGGACUGUUUCUUCUUCCUUGACUCUCUGUGAAUAGAGUUGGUUUGUAGUGCCUGAGUCAUUCUCACUGUCUCAGCAUUAUCUACAGUGCCUUUGCCCUGUGGUCCAAGACAGAACAUGCAAUUGACAAACUGUAACAUAGUUUAAAUCCUGACCUCCCUGGAGCUCAUUUCUCCCUUUUUUCCUUUCCUUUUCUCUUGCCUUCCUGCUUUCUAUCCUUUCUUUAUUCAAGGCCUACGCGUUGAGUACCAUAAUGUACCUAAUACUGGGCUAGGUUCUGGGGCAGAUCAUAAUAUGAAUAAUUGAGUGACAGUGCAUCUUCAUGCAUCUGUGCCUGCCUUAUUCAUUCAUCUAACAGCUAUAAUUUGAGAUAGCAUUUGAAAGACUUUGUGUUGGGGUCAGGGAGGCACCCAGCUCAUUCUCUAGCAGAGGACAGAAGACACAGGCUCUUGCUAAGAGGCAAAGUGGAUAUUGAAAAGUCCACAAGGGAGUUGAAGACAAACUGCUGGAAGGCACUGAGGUUGAAAAGAUACAUUAAAGUCAUAUUAUAGGAGUCCUUUAGUGCUUGUCUAAGGAUUUGGGCCUGUUUCUGUGCCUAAUGGAAAGUCAUCAAAAACUUUGAGCGGCAGAAACCUAUGGGAAGAGUUGAACUUUAGGGAAGUGCAAUGCCAUGGGAAGAUUCAGAGAUGGGGAUGAUCAUUUGCGCUCAUCAGUUGGGGCCUGAGGAAGGAGGGCUAUCAUCUAAUCAUUUGUCACGUGAAUCUUGGAGCGGGAGUCCCAGUGCUGUGCAUGGUGUUGGGCUGAUUGCCAAUAUCUCUGAGCUUUUACAGCUGUGGGUGUGGCAGGUACUGAGGGACAGUUCUGCCAUCCUGUUGGUGGUAGUGAGGCCUCAAAAUUGUAUUGCCUGGAUGCUGAGAUUUAAGGUUUGCUGGAAGGCAGUGUAUGUGCAGGACUCAGGAGACUGUGUCACACAAGACAAAUUCACUUGGUCACACAAGGCCAGUAAACUGUUCUUUUGGCCAUGUCCGCUCUGAUAAAUGAAUCUUUUCUUGCUACCAGAUCAAUAGUCACUGAGCUAAAGAAUUGUUGGGAGAUAAUUUUUAACUCAGCGGAGCCUGUUUUGUAUAUAUCAUAUUUAUUUAUACAUGUAUUCAUUCACAAAUAUUGGCUAACCACGUGCUGUGGCCUCAUGAUAGGUAGCACAUUGAUGGUGGGGGUGGGAGUGUGCCUGUCCUUUUUCCUAUGAAAUGAUGGUGUUGGUAGAUGGCAGUAUUUUCUUUUCUCUUGCUCCUUUCUUAAAAAAUAAAUAAUGCCUUUAUGUGGCAAAAUAAAAUAUUGACAGCCUUAUGUUAAUACCCCAUUUCCCUCCCUAGUCCAUGAUUCUCAGGGUAGAAAUCAUUGUUUUGUGACAGAGGCUGCACAUAGUUUUUAUCCUGUUCAAAUGUUUAUUAUGGACUUAUAAAGGCAAUGAUGAUAUUCCUAUCAAGUUUCUUCAUGACAGGAAUAGGAAAGGGUUCUAAUAUGCAGGUAUCCAAUAUGCUGGAUCACGGUCCAGAGCUUUCUGAAAAACUGCCAGUGCCAUCAGGAGAUGGAUUAUGGCAACAGCCGACAACACGGAUGAAGGUGGUGGUUGAAGAAUAGGCACCAUGGUUCAGACCACAGCCGGAUGGUGGGUGCGUAGCUGGCCAGCAUACUCUAAAGAGCAACGCUGACAGACAGGGGGAGUCUAGGAAAGAGUGGCCAGCAUGGGGAAAGCAUUAUUUUGGAAUAGAAACAAAUGAAAGACUGUUGUUUCAUUUAAAAAAAAAAAAGGAAGGCAGCAGGAAAAAGGCAAAGAGUAGUCUAAGAGUGCUUAUGAAAAAUAAACAAAAAACAAAAUUAUAUUGUUUAUUAUAGACGCCGAUUAAUGGUUCGUGGAUCCCACCAGGAGACAGAACUAGGGAUAGUAGAUGGAGACUACAAGAAACCCAGUUGGUCUUACUAGCAGAAAAAAAAAAAAAAGGCAAACCAACUAUUAGAAUUUACCCUACAUGGAUUAUAUUGUUGUUUUGUCUAUUUCCUCAUUCAGUCUAUAGCUCCUUAAUGAACAGACCUCAUUUGGAGCAUUUGGUGCAUCUUCAAACCAGCAGCCAUUAAAGUGUCUGGCUUCUAGUGGGGGAUGGCAAGCAUGUUGAAUUUAACUAAAUAAUUCACUGAUCAGGUGUUGAUCUGUGUUUGGCACAGCAGGUUCUCAUAAAAUUCUUUUAGGGCUCACUCAGUACAGUUGAUCCAUAAGCAGGGAUUGCCCAGCACACUAAAAUCUUAACUUGUAUUCCCUGUGGUUCAUGAUUUCCUGAGGCUAAAAGAGCACUCUGCCUCAGUUUCUCCAUAUGUACAAAAGAAACUCCCAGGAGUCCAUAGCCUAAAUGGUGAGUAAUUGGAGAUACAAAAGAUAUGCCACUUGUGGGCACUGAUGGACAAAGAUUGAGGCUCAAGAGGGCAGACAGAAAGAGCAGGGAGAAAGGACACACAGGCUGUGGGGUCAGGAGAGGUGAUAUUUGUACUGAAUUUGCUAGAGGAGAGAGGGAUAGAGGGUUGAGGCAAAAGGUAAGAGACAAGAGCAUGGGUAGACUCAACCCGGAAGUGUUAGGAACAGGAUGGUUUGGGGAAGCUGAAGACAUGGUUUGAUAUGAGAUGAGUCAAAUUUUGAGAGGGAAGGGGUUGAAGUGACAAAAGACAAAGUUGUACCAAUAGAGAAAGGAUCAUCAUGGUCUUCCAGGGCAGACUAAAGGGUUAGUGAUAUUUUGCAUGCAACUGGGCUUCUUCUCAGGGUGGAGUAUUAUGUGGGCCAUGGAACCUUCUAAUGAUGUGACUUUCCCAACUUUAAUGCACAUCUACUUAGAUCAUCUUCAAAGUAUGAUGUGACGAAAGGGGCUACCAUAUAAUGACUCAGAUUUCUGGUAUGUCGUCUGCCAUCAGAGAGAUGGAACAUUGGUAAUCAUGUUAGAAAAAGAUCUUUAUUUUCCCUUUCAAAAUAAACACUUCGUCUCCUCUCUGUUCUGCCUGUUUCUCUCAUUUUGUUGGAAGAAUCGUGGCUUUGACAAAUGAUCAGUUGGGCUGCCUUCAGAGUAACAAGAAAGGCAGUUUUUAAAAAUUAUUAUUUUGCAUUUAAAAAUAAGCAUGGCUCCUGUAAGUGUUCCUGUUUUCUAAACUUAUGACAUUUCAAGUGGGUCUCUAUUGUGAAGAGUAAACACUCCAAAUUACACCUUCUCUUUACAGGCUUCUUAAAGCUGAGACUAUUUGUUUGGAGAAUCAUGUUUUGAUAAUAUACUUUUUAAAGCUGAGUUCCCUUCACCUUACUGAAAAGCAGGUAUUAAAACUUCACUGAAAAUUGACAUCAGAAAGUAGGAAGAUUGUCCUGGGACCAGGGACAUAAAAGGCUUAAGGAAUUCAGAUUGUUUUAAUAAGAUAAUUAGAAGCCACAGCCUGAGUUGGGGAUUAGACUUCUCUCUUUUGCUUUGUUUUGUUUUGUUUUGUUUUCCAGUAGAAAGCACAAGAGAAAUAAUGAUUCUUAAAACCAUCAGAGCAAAAAAAGAUGGGAGAAGGGAUGGAGGAGGAGGAGGAGUGAUGCCAAGCAGAAAAUUUGCAACCAUUUGCAUAAUAAACUAACACAUCCAGGCGGCUGGUAGGUUGUCCUAACCACAGGUGCUGGGGUAGAGGGCUAGCUGGUCUGUAAGA